rnacentral:lncRNA from 1 species
GUGAGUGCGGUAGUGAUCUCAUCUUGUACCGCGCCAGGUGUGACUCCUCUCUUUCCUCUUCUUUCGAUACGAGUCUAUGUGCCCUUGGUAAGACGGAGCAAGCAGUAGCGGACUUAAAAUUCACGUAUCGGUUCGGCCCGUGUCCUCGACUCGAACAACAGAUGACCGAAACUUGCUGGUUGAAAGAAGCGAUAACACCUACGAACGCAAAUAAAGGGGGAACUAAUUUUCGUGAUGCUGUGACAAAGAUGAGAAAAAGGAAGGACGGUGAAGAUAUUUCAAGAAAUGAUGGGGAAAAAAAAAGAAAAGAAAAGAAAAAAGACUCGCGAAACCGUGGAGGGGGGAGGGGAGGAGGGGAGGAGGAGAGGGGGCCAGUCUUCUUUUUCGCGCCUUUCGAUCUGUUUUCAGCGCGGUCAGGAAAAUUAAAUCAAGCUCGAUAACCACACUUGAAGUGAUAAUGACUAUAAGUGAAGCGACAUUAGCCCCGGCUAUCUCGAGUACUCGUACAGCUGUGUUUGCGUAAACGAUUGGAAGUCGCAUUGAAAGCCUGUCUCGUUAGGGAACAAAUUUUACCACUAAGGUACAGAUUCAACGUAUUAUUUUAUUAACGUCUCGCGAUUUUCCAUUGGAGGGGUAAGUUGGUUGGUGAUUUGGAAGAAGCGCGUGUCACGAGAACCACGGAGAUCUCCCUGAUCGUUGCGCAACGAUCGCAACGCGCAAGGAACGCAGCAGCAGAAAAGUUCUCGAUAAAACGUACGGUCAAUAAGGCGUAUCGUGCAAAGACCCUGUAAUGGCUCGGCUGGACACGGGACUGUUAAUUAAAUCGUAAACUGUUAAUUAGACCGUUAAACCGACUAGCCUUGGAACACGAUGCCUAAAAUAGCCUUUUCGUCUCCGCCAACUAUUGCCGAUUUUUUUUUAUUAGAAAUCUGCGCUAUUAUCAAAUUAUCCGCGCUCUUUCGAUCUUUGGAACGGAAUUAUAUGAUCAUUUUUUUUUUUCCUCUCGUAUUUCGCAAAAGUUCUUUUUUUUCUCUCUCUCUCUCUCUCUCUUUCUUUUUUAUCGCUUUUCAUGGGAGAGAAUGCACGAUAAUAAUAAUAUAGUUCAGCUGUACCAACCGUGACAAACAAAUGGAAAGAAUCGAAGGCCGGCUUAUCAUGAAAGAUAGGUACUCACUCGUAUUUGCUAUAGGUACGUGACGAUGGACUUCGCAACUUGGAUAAGCUAGAUUCUCUAAUAAUGAACUAGGCUAGAGAUCUCAGAGUCGCUAUGUCCAGCUUUCAAUGGAGAGGGGAAAAAAAAAAAAAAAAAAAAAAAAAAAAAAAAAAAAAAUAAAGAAAAUUAAGUUUUAGAAAGUCGGGGAUUAUUGUUGAAUCGAGGCUAAAUCUUUCUGGUCAGCCUUCCUGUUACGUCCCGAUAUGAGAGCGGGCCAAAAAUAAACCGGCAGUUUCGCAGAGUGGGGACACCAUCGACACGUGCAUGUCAUUAUCUGCACCAGGAAAUAGUGACUCUCGAUCAAGAGACAUUCUCGUAUAAAAGGCGUUAACGAUUGAUCCAUGCCCACCGAUAUAUUUGCAGUUCAUCAAGAAAGAUCCGAUAUUGCUAAAUGGCGCAGAGCAGGUUUUCAAUUCCCGACGAUUUCAUUGAUUUAGAUGAUCAAUUUUUAUCGAAAUUAUUUUUUUUUUUUUUUUUUUUUAUUUAA